rnacentral:rRNA from 1 species
GAUGAACGCUGGCGGCGUGCUUAACACAUGCAAGUCGAACGAUGAAGCCCAGCUUGCUGGGUGGAUUAGUGGCGAACGGGUGAGUAACACGUGAGUAACCUGCCCUUCACUCUGGGAUAAGCCUGGGAAACUGGGUCUAAUACCGGAUAGGAGCGCCUACCGCAUGGUGGGUGUUGGAAAGAUUUAUCGGUUUUGGAUGGACUCGCGGUCUAUCAGCUUGUUGGUGAGGUAAUGGCUCACGAAGGCGACGACGGGUAGCCGGCCUGAGAGGGUGACCGGCCACACUGGGACUGAGACACGGCCCAGACUCCUACGGGAGGCAGCAGUGGGGAAUAUUACACAAUAGGCGAAAGCCAGAUGCAGCGACGCCGCGUGAGGGAUGACGGCCUUCGGGUUGUAAACCUCUUUCAGUAGGGAAGAAGCGAAAGUGACGGUACCUGCAGAAGAAGCACCGGCUAACUACGUG